GGGUACGGGCAGACUAGAGUGCAGUAGGGGAGACUGGAAUUCCUGGUGUAGCGGUGAAAUGCGCAGAUAUCAGGAGGAACACCGAUGGCGAAGGCAGGUCUUUGGGCUGUAACUGACGCUGAGGAGCGAAAGCAUGGGGAGCGAACAGGAUUAGAUACCCUGGUAGUCCAUGCCGUAAACGUUGGGCACUAGGUGUGGGGGACAUUCCACGUUUUCCGCGCCGUAGCUAACGCAUUAAGUGCCCCGCCUGGGGAGUACGGCCGCAAGGCUAAAACUCAAAGGAAUUGACGGGGGCCCGCACAAGCGGCGGAGCAUGCGGAUUAAUUCGAUGCAACGCGAAGAACCUUACCAAGGCUUGACAUGGACCGGAAAGACCUGGAAACAGGUGCCCCGCUUGCGGCCGGUUUACAGGUGGUGCAUGGUUGUCGUCAGCUCGUGUCGUGAGAUGUUGGGUUAAGUCCCGCAACGAGCGCAACCCUCGUUCUAUGUUGCCAGCGGUUCGGCCGGGGACUCAUAGGAGACUGCCGGGGUCAACUCGGAGGAAGGUGGGGACGACGUCAAAUCAUCAUGCCCCUUAUGUCUUGGGCUUCACGCAUGCUACAAUGGCCGGUACAAAGGGUUGCGAUACUGUGAGGUGGAGCUAAUCCCAAAAAGCCGGUCUCAGUUCGGAUUGGGGUCUGCAACUCGACCCCAUGAAGUCGGAGUCGCUAGUAAUCGCAGAUCAGCAACGCUGCGGUGAAUACGUUCCCGGGCCUUGUACACACCGCCCGUCAAGUCACGAAAGUUGGUAACACCCGAAGCCGGUGGCCUAACCCUGUGGACUUUGAGGCGUCGCUGA
rnacentral:rRNA from 1 species